UACGGGGGGGCAAGCGUUGUUCGGAAUUACUGGGCGUAAAUGGCGCGUAGGCGGUUUGUUAAGUUGGAUGUGAAAACUGUGGGCUCAACCCACAGCCUGCAUCCAAUACUGACAGGCUAGAGUUCUGGAGGGGAUAGCGGAAUUCCUGGUGUAGCGGUGAAAUGCGUAGAUAUCAGGAGGAACACCGGUGGCGAAGGCGGCUAUCUGGACAGAGUCUGACGCUGAUGCGCGAAAGCUAGGGGAGCAAACAGG
rnacentral:rRNA from 1 species